GACGAACGCUGGCGGCGUGCCUAAUACAUGCAAGUAGGACGCAGUUGCGAACGGGGGAGUAACGCGUAGGUAACUGCCUCUUUGAGGGGGAUAACUAUUGGAAACGAUAGCUAAUACCGCAUACUAGUAGAUGGACCUGCGUUGUAUUGUGUAGUAGGUAGGGUAAUGGCCUACCUAGGCGACGCGACAUAGCCUACCUGUGAGGGGGAUCGGCCACACGUGGACUGGUACACGGCCCAGGAUCCGACGGGAGGCAGCAGUAGGGAAGCCUCGGGAAUGGGGGGAACCCUGACCCAGCAACGCCGCGUGAGGGAAGAAGGUUUUCGGAUCGUAAAGCUUUGUUGUUAAGGAAACGGUACUUAACCAGAAAGGGACGGCUAACUACGUGCCAGCAGCCGCGGUAAUUC
rnacentral:rRNA from 1 species